UGUUUCUGUAUACCUGCACCAAUUGUAAUCAGCUGUAAUUUGCCAUCUAGCAUUAAUUUCUUCUGUUGCAUGCAGGCUCCUGUGCCUAGUUCAAGGCUACUCUGGCUCCAUUAAAAGGAAGCUGCAUCACACCAUCACUAUCUCCUCUACUUAUCUGCUGCCAAAAGGACAGGAGAGGAUAAGAACCAGCAUAUGGGUCCAGAGAAUGUCUGCAGGAAGGGGAUCCCCAAGUGCUUUACAUGAAGACCCUCAGAGCCCGCUUGCAGAGAUACUGGUCAGAGCUCCUGAGAAGACAGAAAUCCGUCCUCCCUUGCCACUUUGUCCUGACCUCAGGGAGACCUGUGGGAGUGCCAUCAGCAUGUGUACAUGGAGUCCCAGCGCCUGUCCCCAGCGGCGGGUGGUGCCGGCUAUUUCAGACACUGUUUACUGUAAGUAAGACAGACUGCAAUGAUAUAGCAUGAAUGUAAGUGCUAAGAAACAGGCAAAAUGCCCAGCUACCCCACCGAGACUGGGCUGGGAACAGCACGCGUAACAUCAGGAACAGCUUUUGGGGGUAGUUAGUGAGAAAGACUCCACCUGUAGGAACAGAGAGCUUUCAGGACAUCGUGAGAGCAGAAAUGAAAUUCCUCUUACCGUACAACCAAGCCCUAAAACAGAGCAGCCUCUCCCAGCCACUGAAAAUCCAUGCUGGCAGACUCAGUGCAAAUAUGCUAUCUCCUGUUAUGACAAAUCUCUGACAAGCUAAGGUCAGAAAGCAGAAAGCUUUAGCUGUUCUAUCAUGC